rnacentral:tRNA from 1 species
GCCUUAGUGGUGUAAUAAUCAGCACACUAGGCUCAUAUUCGAGAGGUCCGAGGUUCGAGUCCCGGCGAGGGCA